rnacentral:sRNA from 2 species
GUGCGACCUCCGCCGAGUCCGGUACGCCCCACGGCAUCCGGAGCCGGGGACCCGAUCGGCAUCGGGGUGAAUCGGCUUUCCCGUCCCUUCGGACGGGGGCCGCGGGGCACGCCUCCACAGAACGUCCGUCCGAACCCGGCAGCUGACUCGGCGGGCGGCCUAGUGGUAAGGA